rnacentral:rRNA from 1 species
AACGAAUGCUGGCGGCGUGCCUAACACAUGCAAGUCGAGCGCGAAAGUUCCUUCGGGAGCGAGUAGAGCGGCGGACGGGUGAGUAAUACAUAGGUAAUCUACCUUCGAGCUUGGGAUAACCCCGCGAAAGUGGGGCUAAUACCGGAUAAGACCACGUAAUUAUUUUACGGGGUAAAAGGUGGCUUAUUUUUUAAAUGAGCUAUCACUUGAGGAUGAGCCUGUGGCCUAUCAGCUAGUUGGCGGGGUAAGAGCCCACCAAGGCUAUGACGGGUAGCUGGUCGGAGAGGACGACCGGCCACACUGGGACUGAGCCACGGCCCAGACUCCUACGGGAGGCAGCAGUGGGGAAUAUUGGGCAAUGGGCGAAAGCCUGACCCAGCGACGCCGCGUGGGCGAUGAAGGCCUUCGGGUUGUAAAGCCCUGUCAUGCGGAAAGAACGACCCUGAGACGCAUACUCUCAGGGAGUGACGGUACCGCAGGAGGAAGCACCGGCUAACUCCGUGCCAGCCGCCGCCGUAA